UUAAUCGAUAACCCACGUUAAAUUUCACUUUUAUUACAAAUUUAUAUACCGCCAUCUUAAGAAUUUUCCUAAAAACAUNAUUCGUAAUAAAAUAUAAUAUGUUAGGUCAAGGUGUAGUUUAUAUAAAAGUAUUAGAUGAAUUACUUUAAAUAUUAUUUAAGGAUUAAUAGUCAAAAUAAUUAUCAAAAAGAAUUUAAAAGUAAUAUUACAAUAAUAAUAUAAUAUGAUUAAGAUAAUAAAUGUGCACACAUCGCCC
rnacentral:rRNA from 1 species